rnacentral:tRNA from 1 species
GCAGUAGUGGUUCAGUGGUAGAAUCCUCGCCUUCCAUGUAGGAGACCUGGGUUUGAUUCCCGGCCAGUGCA